rnacentral:rRNA from 1 species
AGGUUGAAGUUUAGGUAACACUGAAUGGAGGACCGAACCGACUUACGUUGAAAAGUGAGCGGAUGAACUGAGGGUAGCGGAGAAAUUCCAAUCGAACCUGGAGAUAGCUGGUUCUCUCCGAAAUAGCUUUAGGGCUAGCCUCAAGUGAUGAUUAUUGGAGGUAGAGCACUGUUUGGACGAGGGGCCCCUCUCGGGUUACCGAAUUCAGACAAACUCCGAAUGCCAAUUAAUUUAACUUGGGAGUCAGAACAUGGGUGAUAAGGUCCGUGUUCGAAAGGGAAACAGCCCAGACCACCAGCUAAGGUCCCAAAAUAUAUGUUAAGUGGAAAAGGAUGUGGCGUUGCCCAGACAACUAGGAUGUUGGCUUAGAAGCAGCCAUCAUUUAAAGAGUGCGUAAUAGCUCACUAGUCGAGUGACACUGCGCCGAAAAUGUACCGGGGCUAAACAUAUUACCGAAGCUGUGGAUUGUCCUUUGGACAAUGGUAGGAGAGCGUUCUAAGGGCGUUGAAGCAUGAUCGUAAGGACAUGUGGAGCGCUUAGAAGUGAGAAUGCCGGUGUGAGUAGCGAAAGACGGGUGAGAAUCCCGUCCACCGAUUGACUAAGGUUUCCAGAGGAAGGCUCGUCCGCUCUGGGUUAGUCGGGUCCUAAGCUGAGGCCGACAGGCGUAGGCGAUGGAUAACAGGUUGAUAUUCCUGUACCACCUAUA